UUAGCAGCCAAGAGCCUGUAGUUAAUAGGAAGGGAUUGAGAACAUUCAGGACGGUUGCAGAUAAAUAAGCCUCGAAAGAGUUAAGAUAUGAGUUGAAGACUGACUAUUUCUCCAAGGCACUGUGGAGUUUCAUGUCUGAGCUGGCUUUGAACAAGGGCUAUUAAGCAGAUGGUUCCAUGCAGUGAUAAGAGCUAAAACAAGCCCCACAUGAUGGAAAAUGUAAAACUGAUGACAGUCACUGGAAUGCUGGUCAUAAAUGAUGAUGUAAGUGGUGCUGCUGUGCUGGAAAUCAAUCCUCAAAAAUGUGAAGUACUGCACUCUGCACAAAAGCCUUGACCUGAGAGACUAGACACAGAAAUCUUGAAAGUAGAAACUGGAAUCUUGACAGACUUCCUAGGUUGUUGUCUGCUUUGCAAGUAUCUUCAUCAGAAGUAUGAUGGUCUGUGCAUCAAUAAUAAUCAUCAUCAAGCCCCAAUCAUACAAAAUACAUAAUGAAAGCAUGUAAUA